rnacentral:rRNA from 1 species
GACGAACGCUGGCGGCGUGCUUAACACAUGCAAGUCGAACGGAAAGGCCCUGCUUUUGUGGGGUGCUCGAGUGGCGAACGGGUGAGUAACACGUGAGUAACCUGCCCUUAACUUUGGGAUGACUUCAGGAAACUGGGGCUAAUACCGGAUAGGAGCUCCUGCUGCAUGGUGGGGGUUGGAAAGUUUCGGCGGUUGGGGAUGGACUCGCGGCUUAUCAGCUUGUUGGUGGGGUAGUGGCUUACCAAGGCUUUGACGGGUAGCCGGCCUGAGAGGGUGACCGGCCACAUUGGGACUGAGAUACGGCCCAGACUCCUACGGGAGGCAGCAGUGGGGAAUAUUGCACAAUGGGCGGAAGCCUGAUGCAGCAACGCCGCGUGCGGGAUGACGGCCUUCGGGUUGUAAACCGCUUUCGCCUGUGACGAAGCGUGAGUGACGGUAAUGGGUAAAGAAGCACCGGCUAACUACGUG